rnacentral:rRNA from 1 species
GGCGCCACCCUGAUCCAGCCAUGCCGCGUGGCAGGAUGACGGUCCUACUGGAUUGUAAAAUCGCUUUUUGCACAGGAAGAAAACAACAUUACGUGUAACGUCUUGACGGUACCGUGAGAAUAAGGAUCGGCUAACUCCAUGCCACAGCCGCGGUAA